UCGAACGCACAGCGAAAGGUGCUUGCACCUUUCAAGUGAGUGGCGAACGGGUGAGUAACACGUGGACAACCUGCCUCAAGGCUGGGGAUAACAUUUGGAAACAGAUGCUAAUACCGAAUGAAACUUAGUGUCGCAUGAUACGAAGUUAAAAGGCGCUUUGGCGUCACCUAGAGAUGGAUCCGCGGUGCAUUAGUUAGUUGGUGGGGUAAAGGCCUACCAAGACAAUGAUGCAUAGCCGAGUUGAGAGACUGAUCGGCCACAUUGGGACUGAGACACGGCCCAAACUCCUACGGGAGGCUGCAGUAGGGAAUCUUCCACAAUGGGCGAAAGCCUGAUGGAGCAACGCCGCGUGUGUGAUGAAGGCUUUCGGGUCGUAAAGCACUGUUGUAUGGGAAGAACAGCUAGAAUAGGGAAUGAUUUUAGUUUGACGGUACCAUACCAGAAAGGGACGGCUAAAUACGUGCCAGCAGCCGCGGUAAUACGUAUGUCCCGAGCGUUAUCCGGAUUUAUUGGGCGUAAAGCGAGCGCAGACGGUUGAUUAAGUCUGAUGUGAAAGCCCGGAGCUCAACUCCGGAAUGGCAUUGGAAACUGGUUAACUUGAGUGCAGUAGAGGUAAGUGGAACUC
rnacentral:rRNA from 1 species